rnacentral:rRNA from 1 species
UACAGAGGGUGCAAGCGUGUCCGGAAUCACUGGGCGUAAAGGGCGCGUAGGCGGCCCGGUAAGUCCGUUGUGAAAGUCAAAGGCUCAACCUUUGAAUGGCCGACGGAUACUGCCGGGCUAGAGUACGGAAGAGGCGAGUGGAAGUUCCAGGUGUAGCGGUGAAAUGCGUAGAUAUCUGGAAGAACACCCGUGGCGAAGGCGGUUCUCUGGGACGGUACUGACGCUGAGACGCGAAAGCGUGGGGAGCGAACAGG